rnacentral:piRNA from 1 species
UGGUUAAAUGUUGGGACCCUGGCUAC